CCAAGGAGUCUAACAUGUGCGCGAGUCAAUGGGGAUCUCUCGAGACCCACGGGCGCAAUGAAAGUGAAGGUUUGGUGAGCCUAUAAAAUGGUUCCGCCAACCGAGGCGGGAUCCGUCCGGGCCCGAGCUGGUAUUCGGGGUGAUCCGUCCUUUCAACUCGGCUGGUGGACGUCAAAAAUUCGCCACGUCGGGGAUGACAAGGGGCUGGGUCAUCUUAGAGCCGCUCGAUUGAUAUAAUUUCCGGCGGCGCACCGUCGGCCCGUCGCANACGCAACGUCGUUGCGGCGGAGCAUGAGCGUACACGUUGGGACCCGAAAGAUGGUGAUCUAUGCCCGGGCAGGACGAAGCCAGAGGAAACUCUGGUGGAGGUCCGUAGCGAUUCUGACGUGCAAAUCGAUCGUCGGACCUGGGUAUAGGGGCGAAAGACUAAUCGAACCGUCUA
rnacentral:rRNA from 1 species